rfam:Gossypium hirsutum cultivar TM-1 chromosome 11, whole genome shotgun sequence
AAUCUAUGGUGAGGACACCUUCUCAACAAAACCUUGAAUCUCUCCUAUUUAUCAUAAAAAGUCUCAAUGUCAAACUGCACAAAAGAAUAGAUAUCAUACCUCGACU